UAAGUUUAACUCUCGGAUUAAGCAAUCUAAUUGGCUGAAAUUUUCGGAAAUCAGCCAAUCAGAUUGCUUAAUCCGAGAGUUAAAUU
rnacentral:pre_miRNA from 1 species